UACGGAGGGUGCGAGCGUUGUCCGGAAUCAUUGGGCGUAAAGCGCGUGUAGGCGGCUCGGUAAGUCUGCUGUGAAAGUCCAGGGCUCAACCCUGGGAUGCCGGUGGAUACUGUCGAGCUCGAGUCCGGAAGAGGCGAGUGGAAUUCCUGGUGUAGCGGUGAAAUGCGCAGAUAUCAGGAGGAACACCAGUGGCGAAGGCAGCUCGCUGGGACGUGACUGACGCUGAGACGCGAAAGCGUGGGGAGCAAACAGG
rnacentral:rRNA from 1 species